UCGAGAAUCAUUCGCAAUGGGCGAAAGCCUGACGAUGCGACGCCGAGUGAGCGAUGAAGGCCUUAGGGUUGUAAAGCUCUUUCGCCUGGGAACAAGGGAUGCCGGCUAAUAUCCGGCGGACUUGAGGGUACCAGGAAAAGAAGCACCGGCUAACUCCGUGCCAGCAGCUGCGGUAAUACGGAGGGUGCAAGCAUUAAUCGGAUUUAUUGGGCGUAAAGGGCGCGUAGGCGGAAGGGAAAGUCAGAUGUGAAAUCCCGGGGCUCAACCUCGGAACUGCAUUUGAAACUUCCCAUCUAGAGGGUAGGAGGAGAAAACGGAAUUCCACAAGUAGCGGUGAAAUGCGUAGAUAUGUGGAAGAACACCGGUGGCGAAGGCGGUUUUCUAUCUUAUUCCUGACGCUGAGGCGCGAAAGCAAGGGGAUCAAACAGGAUUAGAUACCCGCGUAGUCC
rnacentral:rRNA from 1 species